rnacentral:rRNA from 1 species
AGUGAACGCUGGCGGUAGGCCUAACACAUGCAAGUCGAACGGCAGCACAGUAAGAGCUUGCUCUUACGGGUGGCGAGUGGCGGACGGGUGGGGAAUACAUCGGAAUCUACUUUUUCGUGGGGGAUAACGUAGGGAAACUUACGCUAAUACCGCAUACGACCUACGGGUGAAAGCAGGGGAUCUUCGGACCUUGCGCGAUUGAAUGAGCCGAUGUCGGAUUAGCUAGUUGGCGGGGUAAAGGCCCACCAAGGCGACGAUCCGUAGCUGGUCUGAGAGGAUGAUCAGCCACACUGGAACUGAGAAACGGUCCAGACUCCUACGGGAGGCAGCAGUGGGGAAUAUUGGACAAUGGGCGCAAGCCUGAUCAAGCCAUACCGCGUGGGUGAAGAAGGCCUUCGGGUUGUAAAGCCCUUUUGUUGGGAAAGAAAAGCAGCAGGUUAAUACCCCGCUGUUCUGACGGUACCCAAAGAAUAAGCACCGGCUAACUUCGUG